rnacentral:lncRNA from 1 species
CUGGAAUCAAGAUGGCUGCCAUGAUCAUGUGUCCACUGGAACCAAGAUGGCCGCCACCAGCCGUGAGCUCACCCAGUUGAAAGAUGGCCGCCCCCACCCGACGCCGCCAUUUUCAAGGUUGCCUCCAGCUCCGCCAUUACCGCAUCCAAGAUGGACGCCAGUACCCAUCACAGCUUCCGCUUCAAGAUGGCUGCCCGCCCCCCACAGCUUCCGGUUCAAGAUGGCCGCGGAUGUGACGUCACCGCCCCCCCGAGAGGGCGGCCAUGUUGGGCGUUCCAUGGCGGUGAAGCCCAUUGGCCGCUUUGGGGUCACGUGGUGACCACCUCGGCCUCAACCCAGUCAGCCAUCUUGAAUCGCCCACUGGCCAUCUUGGCUUCCCUGUCAGCCAUCUUGGCUCGGUCAGCCAUCUUGGCUCCCCUGUCAGCCAUCUUGGCUUGCUCGGCCAUCUUGGCUCCCCUGUCAGCCAUCUUGGGUGGGGGGGAGCGUGCGGAAGGGAGGAGGCUGGAUAGAGGGGGGGAGGGGAGGGAAGGGGGGGUCACGUUUUGGCCUUCCUCCCU